rnacentral:snoRNA from 1 species
UAAAAAUAAUGUACAAAUAAGUAUACUUAUUUUUCAAGGUAUAAUUGUAACUAUUCUUGCUAUGAUUUAU